GCAUUAUACCGCGAAACUGCGAAUGGCUCAUUAUAUAAGUUAUCGUUUAUUUGAUAAUACUUUACUACUUGGAUAACCGUGGUAAUUCUAGAGCUAAUACAUGCUAAAAAUCCCGACUUCGGAAGGGUUGUAUUUAUUAGAUUAAAAACCAAUGCCCCUCGGGGCUCUCUGGUGAAUCAUGAUAACUAGUCGAAUCGACAGGCCUUGUGCCGGCGAUGGCUCAUUCAAAUUUCUUCCCUAUCAACUUUCGAUGUUUGGGUCUUGUCCAAACAUGGUGGCAACGGGUAACGGAGGGUUAGGGCUCGACCCCGGAGAAGGAGCCUGAGAAACGGCUACUACAUCCAAGGAAGGCAGCAGGCGCGCAAAUUACCCAAUCCCGACACGGGGAGGUAGUGACAAUAAAUACUGAUACAGGGCUCUUUUGGGUCUUGUAAUCGGAAUGAGUACAAUUUAAAUCCCUUAACGAGGAACAAUUGGAGGGCAAGUCUGGUGCCAGCAGCCGCGGUAAUUCCAGCUCCAAUAGCGUAUAUUAAAGUUGUUGUGGUUAAAAAGCUCGUAGUUGAACCUUGGGCCUGGCUGGCCGGUCCGCCUCACCGCGUGCACUGGUCCGGCCGGGCCUUUCCCUCUGCGGAACCCCAUGCCCUUCACUGGGUGUGGCGGGGAAACAGGACUUUUACUUUGAAAAAAUUAGAGUGCUCAAGGCAGGCCUAUGCUCGAAUACAUUAGCAUGGAAUAAUAGAAUAGGACGUGUGGUUCUAUUUUGUUGGUUUCUAGGACCGCCGUAAUGAUUAAUAGGGACAGUCGGGGGCAUCAGUAUUCAAUUGUCAGAGGUGAAAUUCUUGGAUUUAUUGAAGACUAACUACUGCGAAAGCAUUUGCCAAGGAUGUUUUCAUUAAUC
rnacentral:rRNA from 1 species